rnacentral:rRNA from 1 species
GAUGAACGCUAGCGGCAGGCCUAACACAUGCAAGUCGAGGGGCAUCAUCCUUUCGGGGGUGAGAGAGUGGCGAACUGGUGAGUAACACGUAGGUUAUCUACCCUCAAGACGGGGACAACCCAGGGAAACUUGGGCUAAUACCGGAUGUGAGCAACUUUUAGUUGUUUGAAAGGUGGCGUAAGCUGUCGCUUGGGGAUGAGCCUGCGUCCUAUUAGUUAGUUGGUGAGGUAACGGCUCACCUAGGCAAUGAUAGGUAGGCGGCCUUAACGGGUGGUCGCCCACACUGGGAUUGAGAUACGGCCCAGACUCCUACGGGGGGCAGCAGUGGGGGAUCUUGCACAAUGGGCGAAAGCCUGAUGCAGCGACGCCGCGUGAGUGAAGAAGGCCUUCGGUUGUAAAGCUCUGUCUGGAGGGACGGAAGGAAGUGACGGUACCUCCGGAGGAAGGCCACGGCUAACUACGUGCCAGCAGCCGCGGUAAAACGUCACGUACGUACGUAGAGCGGGCGGUGGCGAC